GAUGAAGAACGCAGCGAAAUGCGAUACUUGGUGUGAAUUGCAGAAUCCCGUGAACCAUCGAGUCUUUGAACGCAAGUUGCGCCCGAAGCCAUUAGGCCGAGGGCACGCCUGCCUGGGUGUCACACACCGUUACCCUCGCGCCAACGUCCAUCGUUGGCCGCGGCGCGGGGCGUGCGCUGACCUCCCGCGAGCGGGGUCUCGUGGUUGGUUGAAAAUCGAGUUCGCGGUCGAGGGUGCCGUGAUGAAAUGGUGGAUGGGCGACGCCCGAGGCCAAUCACGCGCGACUCUGUCCGGCUCGNNNUCCUGGACCCCUUCGGCGUCUCCGGACGCUCUUUGGCGAGACCUCAGGUCAGGCGGGGCUACCCGCUGAAUUUAAGCAUAUCAAUAAGCGGAGGA
rnacentral:misc_RNA from 1 species